rnacentral:rRNA from 1 species
AGAGUUUGAUCCUGGCUCAGGAUAAACGCUGGCGGCGUGCCUAACACAUGCAAGUCGAACGCCCUCUGGCAACAGAGGGAGUGGCGGACGGGUGAGCAACACGUGGGUACCUACCCCAAGGUGAGGAAUACCGGCGAGAAAUCGCCGACAAUACCGCAUAGGUUUGGACGACAAACAAAGCUCGCAAGAGCGCCAUGGGA